CAACGGACGCGCCGCGGCGCCCCGCCCCGCCCGCCGAGCCUGCCGGGAGAAGCCUGGACCAGAGGCGGUGCUCGCGUUUUCAGCCCAGACGGAGGCUCGCCCUUGGUGUUCGCCCGGGUGUCCGCGGUUCUGUCCCACCCGGUUCCCUCCCGCCCCGCACCAGCUCACCGCAGAGAUCCUUCCAGCAGUUUGGGGGCUUUGUGAUCUGCGUUUAGGUCUUUUUUAUUAAAAGAUGCUGAUUGUAGCUCUUUUUUUAUUGACAUGCAUAACAUUAGUUUCAAGUGUAGGACAUAAUGAUGUGAUAUUUGUAUACAUCGCAAAAUAAUCACGAAGGUUGGUUAACAGGUGCUGGGGAUUUCUUGGAGAACGAUGUACCUUCUGGCAAGCAGUACUCACCCCAUCCCCUGAUACCCACUUCUCCUUGGAACGUCACUCACUCUGCUGCUGAUGGCAUCCAGGACAGCAUGUGGUCACCCAGACAGCGGCAGAAAGUGAGUUCAGCUAGAGGAGGGGCCUGGCUGAUUUGCCUCCCCGGAAUCCACUAGACCUUCAACAUUGCCAGACAUGUGCAACCACUCGAUCGGUAACUGUUUACUGGAUGUUGGAUAGACUGUAUCUUGCUAAAACUGCUCUUUCCAAAGGGCUCUUAAUAAUAGGAUUUGUUUAUGCCAUAAUUUUAAAUAAAAAAAUUAAACUAUAA